UCACAUCUCUCUCCCUCACCCUUCCUUCUCCACCUCCGGCCGCCGCCACGGCCAGGCCAUCGUGGUGGUGCGCCUCCGCACCAUAAGCACACCCACCACAAACAUCCACCACUCACCACCAACUUCACCACCAACACCCAUCUCGCCUGCCGUACCCGCGCGCCUCCACCUGCUGCUGAUUCUCCUUGCUGCUCCCUUUGCCUACCUCGUUGUUGUUCUUCUUCCCGACGUCCUCCUUGCUGCCCUUCUGCUUCUCCUCUGCUUCCCCUCUACUAGCGCCUCAACCUGCUGCUUCUUCUUCCCCAAACUUUGCUGCUGCUCCUUCCCUCUCCUCACGUCCCUGCUGCUGCACUUCUUCUCUCCCAACGCUACUGCUGCUACUACACUCUACUGCUUCCUCUUGCUAACCUGCUGCCACUUCGUCUCUCCUAUCUUCUUCUCCUAUAACCCUUCUGCUACUCCUUCCCUCGUCCUUGCUGCUGCUCUCUCCCUCUCCUAGCGCUGCUGCUUCUCUUCUAUUCAACGCCUGCUGCUGUUCUUCUUCUUGCGCCACUGUUGCUGCUCUCUUCUUCCCCUCAACCUCCUGCUGUAGCCUCUUCAUCUUCUCUGAACAUCUCCUUUUCUAUACUGCUGAAGCUUACUGCUGCUGCUCUCUCUCUAAAGUUUAUGUAAUUUAAGAUGUUUAGCACAUGUAAUAUUCAGAUUUUAUAAGAGCUUGCAACUUGAUUAUUGUUCAGUUUUUAUCUGUAAAAUUCUAUGUUCCGAAUAGUGUAUGUCUUGUUGCUUUGGGAAUUAACUGAUAUAUGAUAUGUUGUUGCUUUGGUAACUAGUGCUCUGUCAGCUUAUAUGUGUGUUCACCCUGUGUAUUUCUUCUCGCUGUACUCAUUAAUUUUUACUAGUAAUUUUUAGUUGUUAAAUACUGUUGUGUUGAUCCGUGGUACUAGUCUUGUGAUUUGUAUAAUCUCGUCCAUAUAUGCUUAGUCACUCGUGCACUGCUCUUAUUUCGAAGAAACUUAUUCAGUUUUGUAAUAUAUGUUUUAGCUCCAGUACUUGUGUUAUAAAGGUCUAUGAUAUAAAUGCCUCUUCCUUUCCUUAUAUACGUCUGCUAGAUAUAUUUGUGAUCAACUCUUGUUAUUUUCUUUUUGUCGAUGAUGAUGUCCUGUGUCAGUAUUUAGUUUCUAAAAUAAUAACAAAAUACCAAAAAGACAAUAAGAUAAUCUGAACCUCCCCUUGCUUAUUUUCAUUUUCUUUGUCGUCGACCUUUUUUAGUUUAGGUUUUAUUUUCUGCAUCCGUCUCUCAAAAUUGUGUUACCUAGAUUUAGCCGAGCAUAGUCGUCGUCGCCUAGUCCCUGUGGGGAACACGACACUCGCAGUUCGGGCGAAAUAUCCUGCUGUACUUUCAACUGAUUAUUUUGGCGCCGUUGUCGGGGACUAGCGUCGAACGAUUGUGUGAAGCUAUAGACUAGGCUUAGUAUAGUUUUUGUUUAAAUUUCCAGUCAAACUUAUUUCGGUGCUUCUUUUACCUUCUUACUUUUUGUUGCUUCGGCUUAUUAGGAUACUAACUUUCUGACUAGUGUUUACUGUUUAUGAGUGUGCGUAGGAAAUCUGAACUAAUUGCAGGUUGUUCUAUAGUUACACUCGGUUAAGAUGGCAUUGCUUCGUGAUCUUUGGAUGCCCAAAAGUCAGUGCUAUAUCACAGGACCGGUUUGGCCAACUAUUGAGGCAGAGAACUUUGAGCUGAAACCUAGUCUUAUUGCUUUGGUUCAACAACAAUAGUCUGGAGGACUGCCUACUGAAGACCCUUAUGAGCACUUGCUCCGAGUCAUGGAGUAUUCAGAUACAAUAAAGUAUCAUGGAGUUCCUCAAGAUGUUAUCAAGUGCAUGUUGUUCACAUUCUCUCUCCGAGAUGAUGCUCGUGCUUGGUAUUGAUUCUUGCCAUCAAGAUCAUUCAGUUGGAAUGAGAUAUCAUGAGCUUUCUUAGAUAAAUAUUUCCCACUACACAAGCAGUCCACAAUUCGAGAUGAGAUCUUCAGCUUUGUUCAGCGUGAAGGCGAGAGCUUGUAUGAUGCUUGGGAGAGGUACAAAGCCUUAUUCAGGAGAUGUCCUAACCACGGGCUCGAGAGAUGGUUAGAGCUGCAGCUAUUCUAUAGAGGAUUGACUUCGGACACUCGAUCUUACGUCGAUAUGGCAGCGGGUGGAGCUAUUACAAACAAGACACUUGAUGAUGCUUUUCUGCUGAUUCAGAACAUAGCCUUCCACCAACUUCAGUGGUACAAUGAGAAGCCCACCUCUGGCCCAGUUGCUUGCUUGCAACAAAUCACUUCAUCUCAGCAAGAAUCUCUUACACAGAAGUCGGAACCAGUUUCUCCGUGUGACAAGAUUGAGCUUUCAUGGAUUAUGUUUGAUGAUGAUGACACCAUCCUAGUUGACACACACACUUCAGAUCAUAUGGAUACUAGCAUUCUAGAUUCAGUUUUGCAUUGUGAUGAUUCUUCUGUGGAUGAACCAGAGCUACAGUUGGUUACUUUUGAUAUUGAGGAGAUACCUUUAGUUGAUAUUGAUCAUGUGCUGCUAGAGACAGAUAUGGAAAAGUUCACCUUUGAUGAUGUUAGCCACAUCGAUUCUUCAAUGUUUGAGCCUGAGAUAGAAAUCUUCAUUGUUGAUUAUGAUGAGGUCACUUCAGAUGUCAAGGAGCAAAGCCCUACUAUUUCACAUGUCGAUACGAGCCCGGUGGAAGUUCCUACUACCAUGCCUUCCAUGGUAUCUUCAGUUGAGGUAUUCAUAAAACUUCUCCAAGGCCAUUUCAGGUAUUAUCUCAGCUUUCUGGAUAAGUUAUGUCAUAUUGCUGAUAUUGCCUAUGCACCAUGUGACUUGUUGUCGAUACAUGUUCCUGAUUUGCUCAAUAGAUAUACUUAUAUGAUAGGGUACUCUAUCGAUGACUUAGAGGGCAUUCUCUCUGUCACUUGUAUUGGCUUGGUUGUUGAGUGUUCUUUCAGGUUGAUGCUUGUGCACCAUUUACUACGAGUUGACCGAGUUCGAGAUGACAUUCCCUGGGAUCCUGGUGGAUUCACGGCAUGGUGAUGAGGAGAAGCAAUGGGCACACGCGAAGAAGAGUGAAGCUGGAGCAUGCACGAGGAAGCAACGGAGAAGAGCUGCAACUUAGAGAGUGAUCAAGCGAGUGUUACUUCAUAGUGCCCGGUGAGCUGUUUCAUGACCCAUUCUGAACAUCAUAAAUACAUGCUGAAUUCAAUUGCUAGUUGGGUUGCUUGAGCCAGUUAUUACUUAUUGUCAAGCUAAAAUUCACCUUUGGCAUCGUGCUUGUUGUGAAUUUGUGGACUUGAUUUCUGAAUGCCUUGUAAACUAGUGAUCUACACCAUGCAUGCUUGGCUGAAAUUAGUGAGAACUAUUAGUUUUGAGUGCUCAAAUCCCUAGUACACUAGAAAACUUCGUCAUUUUCUGCAUUUACUAUGAUACACCUAGAUCACCAUGUUUAGAUGCUGAAUUUCUGCGAAGUGUGUUCCUAUUGAGAGCAAUCACCUAACCACUAUGGAUUAGCAUGCUAUGUUCCCUGGAUCGGUAGCAUGUGAACCAGACAUGGAGAAGUGAGGAUUCCUUUUUUUGUGCUUAUGUGUUGUUCAUUAAAAAAAUACCUUAUAAUGAAUAAUUAUCAGAUCUUACCCAACGGUAGCAUGUCAUGUUCCCUGGAUCGGUGGCUUGUGAAAUGUGGUUGGAUCGGAUAGGAGUUAAUUAUAUUUAAAAAAUGUAAUUGUCGAACCAGGUGUAUACCAUGUUCUCGGGAUCAGUGGUAUGUUCCUUUGGGGAGACAAACAAAAAAACUAAAUAUUGGUCGAGCCAGGUGUAUACCAUGUUCUCGGGAUCGGUGGUAUAUUCCUUUGGUGAGACUGGUAAAAUAUUAUCAUUGUUGCUUCCUCCAAAUCCAAUAAGUGGUUCUACUACAAUGUUGUGUUCAUGGUAAUAAGUGUUUCUCGGGAUCAUGCUCUCUUUAGGAACCUUUGGCACAGUCAUCAUUUAAACUUGUUGAUCCUCUUUUAUCAUUGUAAAAGUUUAAAAUCAUCAUGCUUACUAGUAUCCUACUGCUUUGUAGCACUCUUAACCAUUAAUUUUCACUAGCUAAGUCUGAAGCACGCCUUGUUUGGAGAUCUAUUUUACUAGGACAUUCUUUCCUCAAUUCACUAUUCAUACUAUUGCUCUUGUCAUAUGCCUUUGCUUGAGGACAAGCAAAGAUUUAAGUGUGGGGGAACUUGAUAGAGCAUUUCCUCAUAUAAUCUUUUUAGCCUUUUUGCAUCACAUUGUAAUCAUAUUUUCACAUUAUUUACUGAAGAAAUAUUCGGAUGUUCCCGUUAUAUUACAUUUACAACACUCCUCCAUGUUUUGCAGAAAAGGGUGAAAAGGCCCAAAAUCCUUCUAUAAUGGAGAGUGUCAAGAAGUUGUGGUUACUGUAAUUUACGGAGGGAGUCAAGCGUGAAGAAAAAGAAGUAAUCAGAGGGGCCAAACUUAAGAGGAGGACCAACUUGUGCAGAGAGAAGAAAAGGACAGGGGCCAAUGUGCAAAUGGAAGAUCCGAUCGGGGGAAUCAAAUCCCUAGCGCUCUCAGUCCUCAAAAUCGGGCCUGGCAUCACAUCUCUCUCCCUCACCCUUCCUUCUCCACCUCCGGCCGCCGCCACGGCCAGGCCAGCGUGGUGGUGCGCCUCCGCACCAUAAGCACACCCACCACAAACAUCCACCACUCACCACCAACUUCACCACCAACACCCAUCUCGCCUGCCGUACCCGUGCGCCUCCACCUGCUGCUGAUUCUCCUUGCUGCUCCCUUCGCCUACCUCAUUGUUGUUCUUCUUCCCGAUGUCCUCCUUGCUGCCCUUCUGCUUCUCCUCUGCUUCCCCUCUCCUAGCGCCUCAACCUGCUGCUUCUUCUUCCCCAAACUUUGUUGCUGCUCCUUCCCUCUCCUCACGUCCCUGCUGCUGCACUUCUUCUCUCCCAACGCUACUGCUGCUACUGCGCUCUGCUGCUUCCUCUUGCUAACCUACUGUCACUUCUUCUCUCCUAUCUUCUUCUCCUAUAACCAUUUUGCUACUCCUUCCCUCUUCCUUGCUGCUGCUCUCUCCCUCUCCUAGCGUUGCUGCUUCUCUUCUAUUCAACGCCUGCUGCUGUUCUUCUUCUUGCGCCACUGUUGCUGCUCUCUUCUUCCCCUCAACCUCCUGCUGUAGCCUCCUCUUCUUCUCUAUACCUCUCCUUUUCUGUACUGCUGAAGCUUACUGCAUGAUUGUAGCUAACAACAUGAUUGUAGCUAACACCCUCUUUAGAAAGAGAGAAUCACAUCUGGUGACUUUUAGUAGUGGCCAACACUCUAGCCAUAUUGAUUUCAUCCUCUCAAGAAGAGAAGAUAGGCGUGCGUGCCUAGACUGUAAGGUGAUACCUGGAGAGAGUAUUGUACCCCAGCAUAAGCUGGUGGUUGCUGACUUCCGCUUUCGGAUUCGUGUCAAGCGGGAUAAGCAUGCCAAAGUCGCUAGAACGAAGUGGUGGAAGCUCAAGGGGGAGGUAGCUCUAGCAUUCAAGGAGAGGGUCAUUAAGGAGGGCCCUUGGGAGGAAGGAGGAGAUGCGAACAAUGUGUGGACGAAGAUGGCGACUUGCAUUCGUAAGGUGGCCUCGGAGGAGCUUGGAGUGUCCAGGGGAAGGAGAAGCAAAGAUAAGGAUACCUGGUGGUGGAAUGAUGAUGUCCAGAAGGAUUAAAGAGAAGAAAGAUUGCUUCAAAUGCCUAUACCUAGAUAGGAGUGCAGACAACAUAGAGAAGUACAAGAUGGCGAAGAAGGCCGCAAAGCGAGCUGUUGGUGAAGCAAGGGGUCGGGCAUAUGAGGACCUCUACCAACGGUUAGGCACGAAGGAAGGUGAAAGGGACAUCUAUAAGAUGGCCAAGAUCCGAGAAAGGAAGACGAGGGAUAUUGGCCAAGUCAAAUGCAUCAAGGACGGAGCAGGCCAACUCUUGGUGAAGGACGAGGAGAUUAAGCAUAGAUGGCGGGAGUACUUCGACAAGCUGUUCAAUGGGGAGAAUGAGAGUUCUACCAUUGAACUGGACGACUGCUUUGAUGAGACCAGCAUGCGUUUUGUGCAGCAAAUCCAGGAGUCUAAGGUCAAGGAGGCUUUAAAAAGGAUGAAAGGAGGCAAGGCGAUGGGCCCUGAUUGUAUCCCCAUUGAGGUGUGGAAAGGUCCCGGGGACAUAGCGAUAGUAUGGCUAACCAAGCUUUUCAACCUCAUUUUUCGAGCAAACAAGAUGCCAGAAGAAUGGAGACGGAGUAUAUUAGUACCAAUCUUCAAGAACAAGGGGUAUGUUCAGAGUUGUACUAAUUACCGUGGAAUUAAGCUGAUGAGCCAUACAAUGAAGCUAUGGGAGAGAGUCAUUGAGCACCGCUUAAGAAGAAUGACAAGCGUGACCAAAAAUCAGUUUGGUUUCAUGCCUGGGAGGUCGACCAUGGAAGCCAUUUUCUUGGUACGACAACUUAUGGAGAGAUAUAGGGAGCAAAAGAAGGACUUGCAUAUGGUGUUCAUUGACUUGGAGAAGGCCUAUGAUAAGAUACCGCGGAAUGUCAUGUGGUGGGCCUUCGAGAAACACAAAGUCCCAGCAAAGUACAUUACCCUCAUCAAGGACAUGUACGAUAAUGUUGUGACAAGAGUUCGAACAAGUGAUGUCGACACUGAUGACUUCCCGAUUAAGAUAGGACUGCAUCAGGGGUCAGCUUUGAGCCCUUAUCUUUUUGCAUUGGUGAUGGAUGAGGUCACAAGGGAUAUACAAGGAGAUAUCCCAUGAUGUAUGCUCUUUGCGGAUGAUGUGGUGCUAGUUGACGAUAGUCGGACGGGGGUAAAUAGGAAGUUAGAGUUAUGGAGACAAACCUUGGAAUCAAAAGGGUUUAGGCUUAGUAGAACUAAAACCGAGUACAUGAUGUGCGGUUUCAGUACUACUAGGUGUGAGGAGGAGGUUAGCCUUGAUGGCCAGGUGGUACCUCAGAAGGACACCUUUCAGUAUUUGGGGUCAAUGCUGUAGGAGGAUGGGGGUAUUGAUGAAGAUGUGAACCAUCGAAUCAAAGCUGGAUGGAUGAAGUGGCGCCAAGCUUCUGGCAUUCUCUGUGACAAGAGAGUGCCACAAAAGCUAAAAGGCAAGUUCUACAGGACGGCGGUUCGACCCGCAAUGUUGUAUGGCGCUGAGUGUUGGCCAACUAAAAGGCGACAUGUUCAACAGUUAGGUGUGGCGGAGAUGCGUAUGUUGAGAUGGAUGUGUGGCCACACGAGGAAGGAUCGAGUCCGGAAUGAUGAUAUACGAGAUAGAGUUGGGGUAGCACCAAUUGAAGAGAAGCUUGUCCAACAUCGUGUGAGAUGGCUUGGGCAUAUUCAGCGCAGGCCUCCAGAAGUUCCGGUGCAUAGUGGACGGCUAAAGCGUGCGGAGAAUGUAAGGAGAGGGCGGGGUAGACCGAAUUUGACAUGGGAGGAGUCCAUUAAGAGAGACCUGAAGGAUUGGAGUAUCACCAAAGAGCUAGCUAUGGACAGGGGUGCGUGGAAGCUUGCUAUCCAUGUGCCAGAGCCAUGAGUUGGUUGCGAUAUCUUAUGGGUUUCACCUCUAGCCUACCCCAACUUGUUUGGGACUAAAGGCUUUAUUGUUGUUGUUGUUGUUGAAGCUUACUGCUGCUGCUCUCUCUCUAAAGUUUAUGUAAUUUAAGAUGUUUAGUACAUGUAAUAUUCAGAUUUUAUAAGAGCUUGCAACUUGAUUAUUGUUCAGUUUUUAUCUGUAAAAUUCUAUGUUCCAAAUAGUGUAUGUCUUGUUGCUUUGGGAAUUAACUGAUAUAUGAUAUGUUGUUGCUUUGGUAACUAGUGCUCUGUCAGCUUAUAUGUGUGUUCACCCUGUGUAUUUCUUCGCGUUGUACUCGUUAAUUUUUACUAGUAAUUUUUAGUUGUUCAAUACUGUUGUGUUGAUCCGUGGUACUAGUCUUGUGAUUUGUAUAAUCUCGUCCAUAUAUGCUUAGUCACUCGUGCACUGCUCUUAUUUCGAAGAAACUUGUUCAAUUUUGUAGUAUAUGUUUUAGCUCCAUUACUUGUGUUAUAAAGGUCUGUGAUAUAAAUGCCUCUUCCUUCCCUUAUAUACGUCUGCUAGAUAUAUUUGUGACCAUCUCUUGUUAUUUUCUUUUUGUCGAUGACGAUGUCCUGUGUUAGUAUUUAGUUUCUAAAAUAAUAACAAAAUACCAAAAAGACAGUAAGAUAAUCUGAACCUCCCCUUGCUUAUUUUCAUUUUCUUUGUCGUCAACCUUGUUUAGUUUAGGUUUUAUUUUCUGCAUUUGUCUCUCAAAAUUGUGUUACCUAGAUUUAGCCGAGCAUAGUCGUCGUCGCCUAGUCCCUGUGGGGAACACGACACUCGCAGUUCGGGCGAAAUAUCCCGCUGUACUUUCAACUGAUUAAUCAGGCAAAGGUUUAAGCUCAAACACGGGAUCACCCUUGGGUGGAGGAGGAUCCCCUAAGAUUUCAAGAGGCAAGUUGUGAUGCAGAAUAGGUUCUUGUUUAAAGAAUACUUCAUCUAUUUCCAUUAUUUCUUUCAUGAACAUAUCAUUUUCAUGGUCUAGCAAAUAGUGUUCUAAAGGAUCACUAGGAGGUACGGCAAUAGAAGCAAGACCAAUAAUUUUAUCAUUGCUAGGUAAUUCUUCCUCACGAUGUUGUUUACUAAAUUUAGAGAAAUUAAACUCAUGAACCAUAUCAUCCAAGCCAACAGUAACAACAUUCUUGGUGCAAUCUAUGGUAGCAUUGACAGUAUUUAAGAAGGGCCUACCAAAUAUAAUGGGACUAAAGCUAUCUUGUGGGGAAGUAAGAACAAGAAAAUCAGCAGGAUAUUUAGUUUUCCCACACAAGACUUCAACAUCUCUAACAAUUCCAAUUGGUGAAAUAGUAUCUCUAUUGGCAAGUUUAAUUGUGACAUCAAUAUCUUCUAACUCAACAGGUGCAAUUUCAUUCUUAAUUUCUUUGUAUAAGUCAUGAGGUAUAACACUAGCACUAGCACCCAUAUCACAUAAGCCAUGAUAACAAUGAUGUCCUAUUUUAACAAAAAUAACAGGCACGCCUACCACAUGUCGAUGUUUAUCUUUAGCACAAGGUUUAGCAAUUCUAGCAGUUUCACCUUCGAAUUGAAUAACAUGCCCAUCAAUAUUAUCAGACAAGAGAUCUUUAACAAUAGCAAUAUUAGGUUCUACUUUAACUUGUUCAGGAGGUGUAUAAGUUCUAAUAUUGCUUUUACGAAUAACAGUUGAAGCUUUAGCAUGAUCCUCUAUUCUAACAGGGAAAGGUGGUUUCUCAAUAUAAGAAGUAGGAACAAUAGGAUCAUUAUAAGUGACAGUCUUUUCUUCAACUUUAAUAGGUGCAACUACUUUUACUUCUAUGGGAGGAUGAUAUUUAAACCACUUCUCCUUAGGGAGAUCAACAUAAGUAGCAAAAGAUUCAUAGAAAGAAGCUACUAUCUCAGAGUCAAGCCCAUAUUUAGUGCUAAACUUACGGAAAAUAUCGGUAUCCAUAAAAGAUUUAACACAAUCAAACUUAGGUGUCAUACCUGACUCCUUACCUUCGUCGAGGUCCCAAUCUUCAGAGUUGCGUUUAAUUCUAUCCAAUAAAUUCCAUCUGAAUUCAAUAGUCUUCAUCAUAAAAGAGCCAGCACAAGAAGUAUCGAGCAUGGUGCGAUUGUUUUCAAAAAGCCGAGCAUAAAAACUUUGCAUAAUUAUUUCUCUUGAGAGCUCAUGAUUGGGGCAUGAAUAUAACAUUGAUUUAAGCCUCCCCCAAGCUUGAGCGAUGCUUUCUCCUUCGCGAGGCCAGAAAUUAUAUAUAUAAUUGCGAUCACGAUGAACAACAUGCAUAGGGUAAUACUUUUGAUGAAAUUCCAGCUUCAAUCUUUUAUAGUCCCAUGAUCUCAUGUCAUCACAUAGCCUAUACCAUACAAUGUGUCUCCCUUCAAAUAUAAAGGGAAGACCUUCUUCUUAGCAACAUCAUCGGGUAUACCUGCAAGCUUAAAUAAUCCACGAACUUCAUCCACAUAUAUUAAGUGCUCAUCAGGAUGCUUUAUUCCAUCUCCUGUAAAAGGAUUAGCUAGCAGUUUUUCUAUCAAACCCGAAGGAUACUCAUAAGGAAUUUCAUUUUCAAUAGGUUCAGUAGGUUGAGGAGCAACUCUUUGCUCUACUGGACGGGGUGAAGAUACUCUAAACAAGCCCCUCAGAGAAUUACUUUCCAUAGUAACAAGUGACAGUAAAUUUUAGCACACUAUAUAAAUUUUUCCUUACCAAAUUCCACCUACCAAAGGCGCUACACUCCUCGGCAACGGCGCCAGAAAAGAGUCUUGAUGACCGUCAGUGUCAAAACCGGCGGAUCUCGGGUACGGGGUCCCGAACUGUGCGUCUAGGCCGGAUGGUAACAGGAGGCAGGGGACACGAUGUUUUACCUAGGUUCGGGCCCUCUUGAUGGAGGUAAAACCCUACGUCCUGCUUGAUUAAUAUUGAUGAUAUGGGUAGUACAAGAGUAGAUCUACGACGAGAUCAGAGAGGCUAAACCCUAGAAGCUAGCCUAUGGUAUGAUUGUAUGUUGUGAUUGUUGUCCUACGGACUAAAACCCUUCGGUUUAUAUAAACACCGGACAUGGUUAGGGUUACACAAUGUCGGUUACAAAGGAGGAGAUAUCUAUAUCCAUAUUGCCUAGCUUGCCUUCCACGCCAAGUAGAGUCCCAUCCGGACACGAGACGAAGUCUUUAAUCUUGUAUCUUCAUAGUAUAACAGUCCGGCCAAUGGAGAUAGUCCGGCUGUCCGGAGGCCCCCUAAUCUAGGACUCCCUCAGUAGCCCCUGAAUCAAGAUUCAAUGACGAUGAGUCCGGCGCGCGGUAUUGUCUUCGGCAUUGCAAGGCGGGUUCCUUCUCCGAAUACAUCACAGAAGAACUUGAAAACGAGGAUAGUGUCCGACCCUGCAAAAUAAGUUCCACGUACCACCGUAGAGAGAAUAAUAUUUUCGCAGAUCUAAUUUGCUGGCUUGUUUUGGCAGCAUGACGUUAUGUCACGGCCUGGUGAUUAUUCGAACCGUUUCCUUUAACCAGCCCCGCACAUAACGCGGGUCAGUUUUUUGACACGUCUUGUCAAAGCAGAGAUCGUGUCCCUUUAUUACGGGAUUCUCAUCAAUACGGGCAUGGGUAACCCAACCGCGCCAUCAAUUACGGCGCUUGGGGGAUAAGCGAGUUUUACAAGGCAACAGGGGACGCUUAGCUUCGUCCGCCCAUAUAAAGGGAUAAGGAUUCACCUUUCUAUCCACGCCUUCUUCCUCCUUUGCUCAUCCGUUUUCGCACACUCAAACUCUAACGCCCAAGUCUGCUCUUCCCACCUCAACCUUCUCCAACCAUGUCCGGAGCGGGAGGCAGGUGGAUGGUCUCCUCUGUCACGAAGGGAGACAUCAAGAAGCUGCGCGGAGCCGGAUACUUAGUCGCGAACAUCGCGCAUCGGCUGCCCGCUGCGGGGCAGAUCGUCCCUACCCCGGAACCUCAUGAGAGGGUAGUUUUCCUGCACCAGUUCCUCCGCGGACUAGGGUUUCCCCUCCAUCCAUUCGUCCGUGGUCUCAUGUUCUACUACGGGCUGGACUUUCAUGAUCUGGCCCCGAACUUCAUCCUCAACAUUUCGGCGUUCAUCAUCGUGUGUGAGGCUUUCCUCCGCAUCCGGCCCCACUUCGGCCUGUGGUUAAAGACCUUCAAUAUCAAGCCGAAAGUAGUACGAGGCCAACAAGCUGAAUGCGGCGGAGCCAUGGUGGGCAAGAUGCCCAACGUCAUAGGGCUCGAAGGCUCCUUCGUGGAGAUGAUAAAGGGAUGGCAAUCGGCGUGGUUCUAUAUCACCGAGCCGUGCGAUGCCAAAUGGGCGGCAGCCCCUGAGUUUCGAUCCUGAUUCCCAACAUGGCUCACUUCCUGGAAAGAGAAGGGCUUGUCGUGGGGUUCAUCGGUGGAGCUGGAUGGACUCCAGAAAUGUAUCCGGAGUAUGGCGAGCAAGAAGCUCAAGCUUGUCAACAUAGUCCAAGUUAUGCUCAUCCGCCGGAUCCUCCUGUGUCAACAAUGAGAUUUUACCUUGUGGGAGUUCGACCCGGCCCAGCACCCGACUCUGAGCAAGCUCUUCGAUACGACGCACAAGGACGUCUGGAAGGUGCUAUUCAAGGGCGCCGAGGUCCCCCCUUCUCUCGCCGAGGACCGCGGACUAAGUGCAAAGCGUCUAGCGCGCUCGGUGAGUUCAAUACGUCCCGCAGGACAUUUAUUUUCCCUAGCUUAAUUAUGCGCGGGGUCUAAUCUCCAUGCCUUUGAUAGGACUGGGUGGAGAUGUCGAGGCAGAUUAACUGUCCGGCCCCUUUGCCCGAAGACACUGCGAGCGCUCUCCUGAGGGAGAUGCUGACUCCGGCUCCUUACAAGGUGUCGGAGAAGACCAAGAAGGCCAAGGGAACCCGAAAGAGUUCUCGGCGCCAGGUGUUAUCGGACUCAUUGUCUGAUAACUCUGCGGCACACUCCUCCCUCGAAGACGAGGAGGAAGAAGAAGAUGCUCCCCCUCCAGGCGGGGGAGACAAGAAAAGGAAGGCCGCCCCAACUGGGGAGGCCGAAGGGUCCAAGAAGGGGAGAACUCUCCUUCCGGACAGUUCCACCGCCGCCGACAAGGGCGAAGACGAGUGGUUGCCCCAGGCCAAGCCCCCGGGGAGAUCGUAAGUAUUCGGAUACACUACACCACAACACUACUUUCCCAACAUACAGAUUGGUUGGGAAAAUAGCUUCCGCUCACAAAUAGUCGGUUGGGAAAGACUAUUGCCGACCAACAUGGUCUGCUGGGGAAAGUCCAAACGAGAAAGCCUUUUCCCGACCGACAUAUCUUUCCCGACCGACUGUUGGACGGCUAAAGGAAACAUUACUGACCAACUUUCUGUUGGUCCUGGCACGAACCUUUCCCGACCGAUUUUCUCUUACAAACCUUUCCUGGCCGACUGUUUGACGGCAAUAUCUUUGCCGACCAACUUUUCGUUGGCCCAGCCAUGAACCUUUCCAAACCAAUAAUCUGAUGGUAUUAUCUUUGCCAACCAACUUUCUGUUGGCCCUAGCAUGAACCUUUCCCGACCAACAAUGGGACAGUGCUUCCUUUUGCCGACCGACGGUUCAUCUGCCCUUUGCCAAUGGUAUUUGGCAUAUUAUAUUAUCAAAACAAUAUCAAUCAUGUUACAUAUCUCAUCAUUAUCUAUCAACUGCGAAAGGCCAGGCAAUGGGGAUGGUCUUGAGCGCAGAAGCCAGCUAGUGUGGCUUGGAGCUGAACUUCUGGCACCCUCUACAUUUUUGGACCAACUCCUUGGCCUCUUCCAAGGUAGUCGGCCAGAAGAAACCGUGCCGAAAGGCUUUGGCGACGAGUGCUCUUGAAGCCGCAUGGUGGCCGCAUUCGCCUUGAUGGAUGUCUUUGAGAAUCGCCUGGCCUUGCUCUGGCUCUACGCAGCGCUGGUAGACACCAGUGACGCUGCGCCUGACCAGCUCUAUGUUGAUUAUGGUAUAGGCUGCCGCCUGGCGUUGUACUUGCCGAGCUGAGGUCUCAUCAGUUGGUAGCUCUUUGUUCACCAGGAAUUUAAGGAUGGGAUGGGCCCAUGAGGGUGCUGCUAUUUCUUCCACUACCAGAACUGCGACUUGGACGAGGGCAGCUGGGCUGGGAGGCGGCAGGUUGGAGUCAACAGCCGCUUGCUGGGUUAAUGAAGUCCCGGGCCGACUGGCGCGGGCCUUGGGCCAAGUUUUGGAAUCUUCGAGUCCGCCACCGCAGUCCCCGGGCCGGGCUCGACUGUGGCGGCUUUGGAGUCAUCCGCCAAAGUCCCCGUUCCGACUGCCGGAGCUCUGGAGUCGGAUCCGCCGUCUUCGGGAGGAGCCGGCACAAAAAUGGACUCUGAUUCUGGUGAAGGCUUGACAGACGGCUUGAGGAGGUGUUGAAGGGCGACGCCAGAGGGUAUUGCUUGGCGGGUAGAGCCGAUUCGUGACAAGGCGUCUGCUUGGUCAUUGUCAUUUCUUGGCACAUGGAGGAACUCGCACCCUUCGAAAUACCCACUGAGUUGCUGCACGAGGAAACGGUAGCUCGCCAUGUUUGCGUCUUUCGCGUCCCAGUCGCCAGAUGACUGCUGGACCACUAAGUCCGAGUCGCCAUAACACAAGAUCCGGCGGAUGCCAAGUUCUUUGGCAAGCCGGAGCCCGUGAAUAAGCGCCUCGUACUCGGCAACAUCGUUGGAUGCGGCAAAAUGGAUUUGCAGUGCAUACUUGAGCUUGUCGCCUUUGGGAGAGGUGAGGACGACACCAGCUCCCAAACCGGUGCGCAUCUUGGAGCCGUCGAAGUGCAUCCGCCAAUGGGUGGAGUCAGGCGCUGGAGGCAGGUACUGGGUCUCGUCCCAGUCGACAAGGAAGUCGGCCAGUGCUUGUGAUUUGAUAGUGGUGCGGGGUUGGUCGUAGAUGGUGUAAGGAGCCAGCUCUAUGGCCCACUUGGCCACUCGACCAGGAGCAUCUCGGUUACCGAUGAUCUCGGCAAGUGGAGCCGUGCAAACCAUUGUGAUUGGAUGCUCUUGAAAGUAAGGCUUCAAUUUCUUGGCAGCAAAGUGCACGCCAUAGCACACCUUCUGGUAGUGGGGGUAGUUCUGCUUGGAGGUCGACAGUACCUCGCUCAGGUAAUAUACUGGUCUCUGGACAGGCAGCGCCUUGCCUUCCUCCUUGCGCUCUACUACAAUGACUGUGCUGACUACUCGGCUGGUGGCGGCGAUGUACAGGAGCAUAGGUUCCUUGGGAGUCGGAGCCGCCAGGAUGAGUGGAGUAGUCAGCAUCUUCUUCAACUGGUGAAAAGCUUCGUCAGCCUUAUGGUUCCACUCGAAAAAAGUGGUCUUCUUCAUGAGUUGGUAUAAGGGGAGAGCUUUCUCGCCCAGCCGACUGAUGAAUCGGCUGAUGGGCGCUAAGCAGCUGGUGAACUUCUGCACAUCCAGUAGUUGGCUGGGUACCUCCAUUCUCUCGAUGGUCUUGAUUUUCACUGGGUUGCAUUCUAUGUCGCGCUCAGAGACCAGGAAACCUAGCAGCUGGCCGACUGGUACUCCGAAGACACACUUCUCAGGGUUGAGCUUGAUCUGGAACCGGCGUAGGUUCUCAAAGGUCUCCUUGAGGUCUUCCAACAGUGUUCCACGCUUUUCGGUCUUCACCACCACGUCAUCUACGUAGACGUGGGCGUUCCUGCCGAGCUGCUUGAGGAGACACUUAUGCAUGCAACUUUGAAAGGUGGCGCCGGCAUUCCUCAAGCCGAACGUCAUGGUGAGGUAACAGAAUGCUCCAAACGGCGUGAUGAAGGCGGUCUUCAACCUAUCAGCCGGGUUCAGCUUGAUCUGGUGAUAUCCUGAGUAUGCAUCCAAGAAACUCAACAGCUCGCAUCCGGCUGUGGAGUCUAUCACCUGAUCGAUUCUUGGUAGAGCAAAUGGGUCCUUGGGGCAGGCCUUGUUGAGGCUCGUGUAGUCAAUACAGAUUCGCCACAGCUUGUUCUUCUUUAGCACCAGGACCGGAUUUGCCAGCCACUCUGGAAAGAAAACUUCCAUAAUGAAGCCGGCUGCUAGGAGUCGGGCAAUCUCUUCUCCGACGACUCUUCUCUUCUCUUCUGAUAAACGGCGCAGGGGCUGGCUGACCGGCUUUGCAUCAGAUCGGACAUGUAACUUGUGCUCGGCGAAAUCCGUCGGUACACCUGGCAUGUCUUUGGGAGACCAUGCGAAGAUGUCUCGAUUCUCAUGGAGGAAAUCGACGAGCUCGCCUUCCUAUUUGCUGUCGAGGUUUGCACCUACGACGGCGUACCUCUCUGGGUGCUCCGGAUCCAGGGGUAUCUUCUUUGUCUCUUUGGCCGGCUUGAACGAACCAUCGGCUUCCGACUCCUUUGGGUCGGGUGAUAUCUCCGGCUGCUUGCGGCCAUUGCCACAACUCGUUCAAGGAGUCGCUUCUCGGCUGCGAUUACCAGGGACUCGGCCAGCCGACUGCUCUCGGCCGCGCAAGUGGACGACUUUCGAUAGUCACCGGCCACAGUCAGAAUUCCCCUAGAACUGGGCAUCUUCAUCUUGAGGUAGGCGUAGUGGGGGACCGCCAUGAACUUGGCCAAGGCGGGUCGGCCAAGUAGCGCAUGGUAUGGGAUCUCAAGGUCCACCACCUCAAACCAAACAGGCUCUCUUCGGAAGUGAUCUUUGUCCCCAAAGAGGACGUCAAUCAGGAUCUUGCCGAUUGGUGAGCAGGAAAGCCCAGGAACAAUGCCGUGGAACACAGUCCGGCUGUUCUGAAGCUGUCUUUGCUUGAUUCCUAACUUCUCCAUGGUGUCCUUGUACAGGAUAUUGAUGUUGCUUCCCCCAUCUAUCAGAACUCGUGAAAAACGCGCGGCCCGUUUGUCCAUGGCAAAGGUGGCAUCCAGGACCAAGGCGUAGGAGCCCGGACUCGGCAUCACUUCUGGGUGGUCAGCCCUGCUCCAGCUGAUGGGCUUCUCACACCAGUGCAUGAACUCUGGCGUCUCUGAGGCUACUGCAUUCACCUCUUGACGCUGCAGCCGCCUGCUACGUCGAUCAUCAGCCACACUGGUGAACACCACAUAGGCUCCUUGCUCUUCAGGGUAUUCGUCUUGUACUACGCCGACUGGCCUGACUGCCGGCUGCUGGGGUGGAGGCGGAGGCGGCUGCUCAGCAGGCGGGGGUGGCAGGAGGCCAUCUCCCUUGGCGAUCCUGGUCAGCCAGUGGCACUUCCGGGUGGUGUGAUUCGACGGCUUCGCGCCGCUGUGGAACUUGCAAGGUCCAUCCAAGGUCUGCUCAUAGGAGAAGGACGGCAACCAGUUCGGCUUGCCGCCUUUCUGUCGCUUGGGCGGAGGCUGCUCUUCUGGCUAUUGGGCUUCAACGGUCGCGACCUGCCGGCUGCCGGAAGCCGGCUGCGGGGCCUUGCGCUUGUUGUCGCCCUGCUGUUGUCGCCGGCCGGCGUCUGCUGCCGGAGUUCUUGGAGUUUGAGGAGCCACUUUGCCAGUCGUGCUGAUUUGAAUUUCCGCCUUCAUGGAAGAGUCGGCCGUGGCGUACUUGUCCGCUAUGAUCAGCAGCUCGUCGAGAGUUUCUGGCUUGUCGCAGAGGAGCUUGUGCUUGAGGAGGGUGCCUUCUCGGCACCCGGCUGUGAAGUACUCAAUGGCCUGCACCUCAUGCACACCCUCGCAGGAGUUCCAGAGCUCAGCCCAACGCGUGAGGUAGUCACGGGUCGACUCGUCAGGACCUUGCACGGACAGGGAGAGCUGACGAGGCUUGGGAGGACGCUUGUACAUGCUAGUGAAGUUGCGGACGAACGCUUCGAUGAAGUCGACCCAGCUGUUGAUGCUGCGGGGCUUUAGGCUGUUCAGCCAUGUCCGGGCCGUGCCCUGGAGCAUGAGCAGAACGUACUUUACGACGACACGCUUGUUGCCGUUUGCUAUGCUGACAGCCGUGGAGUAGUCGACUAGCCAGUCUUCUGGCUUCAUGGAGCCGGUAUACUUGGGUGUGUCUCUUGGGAGCGUGAACCCUCUAGGAAAGGGCUCGUCCCGAAUGCGGGGCCCGAAACAAGGCGGACCCAGCUCGUCUUCUUCUUCCAGCGCGAGGGACCGGUGAAGUCGGUCGAUCCGGUGGCGGGCGUCAUUCUCUCCAACUCCCUCUCAGCGGCCAAGGCGGUCACCGAGAGUCGGAUGGUCAACAGGCGGCGGGGAGACUCGCCUCUCCUUGCGGGGAGGGGGAGGCGGACAGUCGUCCCGUCAUUCCACUUCUCUCGGGCGGCCAUCUCGGUCGCGCUCUAUGGUAAUGCGAGUCCGACUGUGGCUGACAGACGACUCCUUGUCCUUUCUUCCUCGGGCGCUGCCAGUCGGCGUCCGAGACGUCGCGCCUUGAUCUCGGUGCGGGUCGUCGUUUGGCCGCUACGGCGCCUCCGUGCGGCAGCUGGCCUCAUUCUACAUGGCGGCCAUGUCGAGGAGCCACUGGACUCGUUCCAUCAUGAGGCGGCGUUGUUCGCCCUCAAAAUUGUCCAGCUCAUCCGCCGCUGCCUAGGCGGCUCGGAUGUUCUCCGCCGGUGUAGCGUACAUGGGGCGGCUAGCCCCAAACAGGCUGGCGAUGGCUACGCCACGCUGCUGGACCGUGCCAAGGCGGCUAGGCCCUGCCGGGGCCGGCGAGCCGCCGACGGCACGAUCCAUCUCCCGCUGGUAAGCUUCUGACAAGCGUCUCAUGCUGGCCAGCUUCUUCGCACCUUCAACGAGCUGAAGGCGGCGCGCUUCUAACAUCUCUGCGUCAGCAUCUUGCGGAAUGGGCGCAGCUAGGUCUUGCAGUGCCACGCCGAGUGAGUCGGGCGCUCCUCCGCCAAGGAACUCGUCAUGACUGAUGACUAGCACCGCGGUGACGGUGCUUCCGUCGCUCUCCGCGUGGGGGAGAGGUUCGUCAUAGACCACCACGUUGGUGGGGAACGCGUCGAUCGACGCGGUGUCGGAGUCGACCAGCAUUGGGUCGGUGGAGCCUACGGACUCCAAGUCUACGGCAGGCUCGUCGGAAACGUGGAGUUGAUCGAGGAGGCCCACGAGGAGGUUCUCGGGGCCGCCCGCGCCUGCAUUGGACGCAGGUUCAUCGAAGAGGCGGACCUCGCCAACGAGUUCAGCCAAGAAGCUGGCUGCGCAGGCGAUCUCAACGCCGCGCAGUGCGUCGAUGCAAACUUCGCCUGGUGUGCCUGGCUGGCUGCGCUCGCCAGGGAGGAAAAGGGUUCCCGUCCAGAACAGAUCUCCAGACGGCGGUGCACCAGGCCCCACGGUGGGCGCCAAAUGUCGGGGGUUUGGUGCGACAUAUGCCAACGGAUGGCUUAUCAUGGUGGGGGUGAGUAGAACGUCGCCGGUGCCUAGAAACGGGAUGAGGCGAAGACAUGCACGCCGGCGAAUCUUACCCAGCUUCAGGGCUCUCCGGGGAGAUAACACCCCUACUGCUGCUCUGCGGGGUCUCCGCAUGAUCACUAUGGCCAAGUGUUUACACGGUUGCUCCUUGAGCUGUUUCUGGUGGUAGAAGAGGGCAAGGCUAGCUCUCUCCUUCUAUCUGGUAUGGUCUAGAACUACUGGGAUCCAACCCUUUGCAUGGGUGCCCUGGGGGGUUUAUAUAGGCCUACCCCCCAGGGCUACAAUGGUAAUUUGUCUGGCUACGGGCCCAUCCGUCAGUGCCUCCGACCUUCGACUUCUCCGCCGACUGCUGGGGCCCACCGACUGGUGGGUCCCGUCGACUGGUCUGGUACGGAUCCGACAGGCCGCGUCCGUCGUGGGCGGGUCUUGCCGGCUGCUGAUUACUGUAGCCGUGCUUCUGAUGAUGCAGGCUUGGUCAAGGGGUCGUGGCAACAGCCCCGCCGCCUGGCGGGCGAUCACUGAGGCCACUCCCCAUCUCAUCUUGAUUAAUGGCAUGUGGGCCCCGGGGGAGGGCUCUGCCGACUCCCCUAAGCCGACUCCCGAUGGAUCCAACUGGCGGUUCUCCCGCCGUCUCCCGAGGUCUCGCUGACUGGUGGGCCCUGCUGCCUCCGGGCCGUACAGACAAGCCAUCGUGGGUGCAGGACUUGGUACUGUGGUGCUGAUGUCAGGGCUGGCCGGGCAACAGUGCCACGCCGCUCGGAGAUCUUCCCGGGUACGGCGUGUUGUGGCCGUGCCUGCCCUUGGUAAGGGGCGGGAGUGGGCUUCACUGUAGCCACGCCUCUGCCUCGUCCCCUUCGAUGAGGUCAUGAUUUGUUGGAGUCGCCGGCCGACUCCCCAAAGCCGGCUUCUCUGGAAGUCGUCCCUAGGACUCGGCCAUGAGUGGGCAGUCGGCUGCCCUGCCGUCGACUCCUCAGGAGGCGGCUCUUCGUCCCGGAGUCUUGAGGGGCGCAGCCUGCCCCGAUGUCUUGAAAGGUUAUGGGACUCGGGUUGGCCUACCCGUGGCCCAUUACUCCGACAGGGCCCCCAGCAAGGCCCUUGCCGAAGACACCUGCGGGGCCGCUGCCAGGCCCACGCCUGCCAAGACUCCACCGCCGCUCCCACAUAGCUGCUAGCUCGACCAGCUGAGCAGGCAUCUGCGUGGCAGCGCGCGGCCUCCACACCAACUCAGCAAGCACCUGCGUGGUGGCAUGCAGAUCUUCGUGAAGGCUCCACCACUGCGCCAGCCCAGCAGCCAACCAACGUGGCGCUACAAUGCCUCGUCAGCUUGAACGUGCAUCGGAGCCAGGAGAAGCGACGAUAGCUGGGACGAGCUUCUUUGCCGUCCCCAAUAAAGCAAGAGGGGCACGCCGGCAGCGCAUUAAAUCCGUUUGUUCGACGAUGCUAGAGGAUAUACUCAGCCACUGUACACCUUUGCACCUCCUGUGUGCCUCUGUGGAGACCCCUUUUGUCUAUAAAAGGAGGCUUGAGGUGUACUGGAGAGGGAUUCGGAUCUUUUGGACUAGACAGACACCACAGCUAGUUCAAGAACACAAGAACACUCAAAUAUACACAAAAGCAGGAAUAGGGUUUUCCGCUUCUCUGUCGGUGUCAAAACCGGCGGAUCUUGGGUAGGGGGUCCCGAACUGUGCAUCUAGGAUCGAUGGUAACAGGAGACGGGGGACACGAUGUUUACCCAGGUUCGGUUCCUCUCUAUGGAGGUAAUACCCUACGUCCUGCUUGAUUGAUCUUGAUGAAUAUGAGUGUUACAAGAGUUGAUCUAUCACAUGAUCAUAAUGGCUAAACCCUAGAAGCCUAGCCUAUAUGACUAUGGUAAUGAGUAUAUCCUUUCCGGACUAACCCCUCUGUCUUAUAUAGAUACUGGGGGGAAUCUAGGGUUACAUAGAGUCGGUUACAUAAGAAGGAAUCUUCCUAGCCGGUCGCCAAGCUUGCCCCGCCACGCCAAGUAGAAUCCAAUCCAGACACGGGUACGGUCUUCGGCCUUCAUGUCUUCACAGGCCAUUAGUCCAUCCCAUGGAUAAUAGGCCGGACGCCCGAGGACCCCUUAGUCCAGGACUCCCUUAGUAGCCCCUGAACCUGACUUCAAUGACGAGGAGUCUGACGUGCAGAUUGUUUUCGGCAUUGCAAGGCGGGUUCCCCCUUCCGAACUCCCAAUUGAUCUUCCGAUGUGAUGAUUGUAUCCGGACUGGUAUACACAACCGCAGAGGAAUAUUUUACGAGUUCAACCCAUCGACCACUUUUUGGUAAUAUGACACCACACCUGCCUGGCCACUACUUGCGAACCGUUUUAGCCGGCCCGUCGCCCCAUGUCCCAAGACGUGGCUUUAUUGGCGCGUCUUAUCCAAGCGGAGAUCAUGCCUCCACUUUUUUUAAGGGAUUCCUGUCAACCCGGACGUGGGUAACCCAACCGUCGCUGGGAUACAACUCCUUGGAAAUAAGCAAGUUUUUGAGGCCCAAGAGGAGAUGUUUGAUAUUUGCAGCCUUUAUAUAGGGGUACAGACCCGUCUUUUUCUUCUAUGCUUGCCUCUUACUCGACCCUUGCAACUCCGAGUUCCAACACCCGGGUUUCGGUUGCCACUAGACCCAAUCAUGUCCGGAUCCAGCCAUCAAUGCUGGUGGGUUGCUUCUUCUGUUGUGGAGGAAGAUAUUGCAAAGCUUCGAGCGACGAGGUACCUGACUGCCGAAAUCCAUCAUCGGCUUCCUGCCGAGGGGCAGGUUAUUUCCAACCCCAGAUCCGGCGAGAGGGUCGUGUUCAUGUCCCACUUCCUCCGCGGGUUGGGGUUUGCACUUAACCCCUUAUUCCGAGGGCUCAUGUUCUAUUACGGUCUAGACUUUCCCGAUUUGGCCCCGGUCUCUAUUCUUCUUAUCUCGGCAUUUAUCGUCACGUGCAAAGCCCUCCUCCGAACUCCUCCGCACUCCGGCUUGUGGCUCAAGACCUUCAAUGUGAAGUCGCAAGUGGUAGAAGGGGAGCAGGUCGAGUGCGGCGGCGCUACAGUGAGCAAGCUUAUUAGCGUCGUUUGGCUAAAAGGAUCCUUCACCAAAUCUUCCGAUCUGUGGCAGCAGGGGUGGUUCUAUAUCACCGAGCCCCGCAGCUCCAAGUGGGUAACUGCGCCCGCAUUCCAAUCCAGCCCCCCAACUCAGCUUGCAUUGUGGAUUAACAAGGAGCUGGAUUGGGGAUCAACUAAUGAUGUGUGAACUCUGCAAAGUCGCAUCCGAAGCCUCAUUGAGAGGGACAUCGACAUAGCCAACGUCGCUCAAGUAAUGCUAGUUCGUCGGACCCUGCCGUGCCAGCGACGGCCUCUCUGCCUAUGGGAGUUCAAUCCAGAAGGGCUGCGGACUCUUCAGCACUUCUUCGGCACAACGCACGAAGGAAUGUGGAGAUUAUUCUAGGGGAAACAAAGGCAAUGGCCAGACACCACCGAAGAUGUCGGCCUAGACUGUAAUCAUCCGGAUACCCCGGUAAGUACCCGUUUACCGAAUACCUUAUAGUCAGAUACCCAGUGGCAAGAUACCAAUAGUAUCAUCCUUUUUCAGGGCUGGAUAAAGAAGGUGGAACUGAUUAGGUGCCCGGCUCCCCUUCCCGAAGACUCAACUACUCCUGUGUUAACAAGGAUGUUGGCCUCGGCGGCAUACCAGGCACCGGCAGGGGAGGGCGAGAAGGCCCAAGAUGACCUUGGUUCCGGAGGUAAGUCGGACACUGAGUCCGGACAAAUCUACCUUUCUUCGCCCAAAGACGGAGGCGAAAAAGGACCCAGUAUCCCUACUACAGGCAUGAGAAAAAGGGCCGCCUCCGAAGAUUGGGAGGGGCGGUCUUCUAAUGAGGGCAAGAUGCCACCGUCGAGCGCCCUGGGUUUGGAAAGUGAUGCCAUUAAAUAGCUCCAACAAGGGGACAAGCCCUCGGCCAAACCGUAAGAGAAUCUGGAGUAAUUUGAUAGCGUCCCACUCCGUUGCUGUUACCGAAGAUAUACGUAACGCAUUCAUGCAUUUUUACAGGUCGGCACAGAGUUUUUCUGGACGAUCCUCUUCUUCGAGGAGUCUCCUCCCAGAGAUGAUGGAGAGCAAGACGCCUCCUCCAAACUCCUCGACCAACAAGGCAGAUAACUCUGAAGUGUCAUCGUGGAGGGUCCCUUUUGACCAACAAGUUACAUAGGGGACAGAAGAGGCAGUACCCGAAGGUGGAGCACCGACCAUCCGGGAUCCGGGGCUGAUGAUAACAAAGGUCCCAGAUUGACUAGUUCGCAGCCGACACUGAUUCUGGAGACGGGUGAACAGAUUCCUUCAAAGAAUGAUUGUGCUCCUGGAGCAGCUUCGGGAAACUCGGAGACUCCGGAUAUAUUGCGGGACAUUUUGCGGAAAGCAUCUAUCUCGGGGGAACAAUGUACCUUGAUGGGUACAGUGAUUGAGAAGAUUUCAUCCGCGAAGAGCGGAUUAAAUGAAGCCUUCAUGAGCCUACUGAAGGGCUUCGAAGUUUGUGACAUAAUGUUUUUUGCUAUGUUUCAUUUGCAAAGAUGCGUCUGUGUAUAGGUAGUAGCCCCUGAUACUCGGGUUAGCUUCCACUAGGAAGCAAAAGGAGGAUCGGAAAAGGAUUGUUUGAGGACUAACUUGAUGAACUUUGAACACAGGCUGCUUCCCCCUUGGCCACUUCCCGGACUAUGGAGAUUGCCGAUGUGCAGCGGAAGCUUGAUGUGGCAGGGGAUGAUCUUGCUUUAAUCAAUAUGCGUCUGGACGAGUCGAAGGUAUGUAUUCGGGGCAAUCCUCAUACUUUUUUGUGGUAUAAGCAUAAUGCUGAGAUUUGGCUGCAGAUGGUGUUGCCGCUGUUGAAGUUCUUCGAGCGGAGCUGGCCCGGGCCAAGGAUCAGGCCCGGCGUAGCAAUGCUGUUGCCAAAAAGGCAUCGGCUGAAUUAAAAGCUGAACAAGCUGCACGGCGCCAAGAUGAGGAGAAGAUAUCCAUGAUGACGCUCGAACUGGAGAAUGCUACGGCCGCUGUGAAUUUCUGGAGAAGGAGAGAAGCCUUAACGGCUGAUCUGGAGAAGGCCUUACAAGAGGCGAGAGAAGCGCGGUCGGAAUGCAGAGUAGCCCGUGAGGACAUUCGACAGGCCAGGGAGAUUACGGCUGGAAAGCCCAUUCUGCUGCAAACUAAGUUCAGUGACCCGAACUAUGCCCAGCUUAACCAAGUAUGGAGUUCUCCGGACGAGUUCUUGGACUUGCCGAAGAGUUCUACCGAUGCGGCGCAGUAUUACCAAGUGCGGGAUGGAUAUGCAACAGAGAAGCUUUCUUGGUUGCAGUUUGGCGCAUCAAAGUGUCCUCUGUUGCUCAAUGAACAAAUGUCCCAAUGGGCCAUACUUCAUAGGAUAUCCGGCGCUGCCAUGAAGGAUGUCGUAAUCCGGUUGUGGCCAACCGAGCCUGUUCCGAAUAGCUAUUUCGGUUAGGUGCAAAGGCUUGUUGAUGCAGUGCCGUGUAUCGACAUUGUGAAGCGCUCAACGUGCAUUGAGGGUGCACGGCACGGAUGGCUUUUGCCAGAGUUAAGAUGUUCUAGGGGAAGAUGAAGGCCAUUGAUGUUGCGGCGAAGAGUCCACGCAAAGGCAAGGACCGUCCGGAACCAGAGCAUUAUUUUGAAGACGUCCUAGAGGCCGCCCGCUUUAUAGAGGGUUAGUGCUCAAAAGACAUAAUGUUCGAGUGACGUGUAUGAAAAUUGUAAAAGACAAUUUUAUAGUUAAUCUAUUUGUGUUUUGCUUGAAAGCUUGAAUUCCUCCUGUGCGGCCAUUUUGAUAUAAUCUAGAAGUUUUCCAGUCAUCGGCUUCAGCCCCCUCGUAGGAAGUACGGGGGUGUUUGGAAAAGCAUUUAAUCACUCUUUAUCCAACGUCUUGGUCCAUGAAGGAGGUGAUAAUGCGGCGAACCAGGCACUCGGACUAUAAGGCGUUAACACAUUCACUUAGCCAUAGGAGUUUUAUGGUGGGGCUAUGACAUAGCCCCUGGUAUGUAUGCGGCGUAUAGUGCCUUAUAUAUUUGAUUUGAAAAAGAUCCCUUGUGUGACACGGAGAAUCGCUAAAGAUUCCAAUAAGUCGUCAAGUGGCUGACCAGCUCACGCCGCAUCAUGACAGUCAGUUUUCGGCUUUCUCUACUGAGGUGCUCGUUCGGUUUAGGCCAGGGCACAAUCGCAGUAGUUCUCCCUUUACUACCCUAGCCGAUAGAGCGGAACGUAGGGUAGCAAGCACAUGAGCUAGGCAACCCAACUAUUGACCCAAGACUAUGAUUUGGAGCUGAUGCAUAUAAGGCCAAGCUUGCGAUGCGGAAGUAUGCUAUAGAACUGUUCAGACUUUUACCGGCAACUCAUUUGUUCCCACACCGAGCCCCUGGCAGGUUAUGCCAAGGUAUUUCUAUGAAAUAACCGUAGGAGCUAUGUUUGUCGGGAAAACAAUACAGAUGAUUAGUUCGGAUAUUGUUUACUGGUAACUGAGCGAUAUGCCAAUGAUUACUUAUGAUAUAUAUAUAAGCCGUCCCCCCGGCUAUUUGACAUGCUCGGGGUUGGAGGCGGAGGAACAGGCAUAGUACAGGCUCGAGAAAUAGAGAGUGCGGUCUACAAAAAGUUAUUUUGGACCUCCUGUCGCACGUCUGCGUCGCCAGUCCUUGGUGGGGGGAAUCCUUGAUGGAAAUAGCCCCUUAGGUGAGUGUAUGGACCCGGACUCUGAUAGAGCCAGUUUCUGAUGUUUAUCCUGUUCGUCACCUAUUUCUAAAGGAUAGCGAAGGAAGAAAUAAAAAGAAAAUAAAUAAUAAAAAAGUUACUGGAGUGCUUGCAGGCUUGUCCAUAUUGUGCUUCCGCCAAUGCCCAUGGUAUCUUGAGUGCGUAAUGAUGUAUGCGCGGUACAAACUUUGUAGGUGUACGGAGUGGGCGGCGGAAGCCGGGUUGCUAUUUCCGUUCUAGGAGAAGUUGAUCCUCGGGGGGAGACUGCUUCUGACCUCUGAUGUUUCGUUGGUGAACCUUUCCGUCAUCCCUGUCGCUUGGCGGCCUCCUCCUCCUGUGUUCGGCGUUGAGCUUGCCGGCCUGUUUAAGUACCCAGCAGUUUCUGUUGGUAUGAUUAGCUGGUUUAUCGGGGCAGCCAUGAAUCUGGCAGGGUCGGUCCAAUAUCCUGUCCAGGUGUCAGGACCCCGAUUCUAAGUCACACCGAUCUAGCCUGUAACACCUCAUAUCACUUUGCGGCCUCAUGCACGGUAUCCCCACGGGUGUCGCCUUACCAUGGCCCGGGACCAUUUGCGCCUUUUGGCUCACGUAUAUGAUAGUGUCACUAGCAUCCAUAUGACAGAGAACCCGGGCCGACAUGACUAGUCGUGAGCCCAAAGUAGCACUAACUUACAGGGAUAGGCAUACAUGAAUCAACAUCGAGCAUGUCGGUAAACCGGGCUGUAGCGGACUACCAAGGCUUAGUGGAAGCACCAGACUACAUUUCCCCAUAAGAGAGGCUACCAAAGAUAAACAACUAGAUUUUUGGAUCCCACACAUACCAAGCAUUUAAAUAACUUACACACAAUAUGCUCGAUAUGUGCAAAUACAACAUGGCAUCACAACAAAACUCUACGACUCAAAGUAUUUAUUCAUUAGGCUCCGAGGAGCGAGAUAUUACAAACAUGGGUCUCAUGACCCAACAUUCAGAGCAUACAAGUCAAAGCACAUGCAGAAGCUUAACAUGUCUAACUACACACAUCUACAAAUGAAAAAGGCUGAGAAGCCAGACUAUCUACCAGAUCCUACCGAGGGCACAAGAUCGUAGCUGAGGUAUCAAGCUAAACGUCGAAGUCCAACGGAACUACUAGCGAGACUAAAGUCUCUCUGCAAAACAUAAAUUAAGAAAACGUGAGUACAAAUGUACUCAGCAAGACUUACAUCAGAACUAGCUACAUAUGCAUCAAUAUCAACAAAGGGGGUGAUGGAGUUUAACCGCAGCAAGCCAGCUUUGACUCGGUGGCUAUCCUAAACUACAACUGCAAGUAAUUCUUUUGAGGUGACGCACACGAGUCCACAUAUUCACCAUAACAAUACACCACUAUGGAUCCGCUCCUGUCUCCCUACGAGAAGGCCGUCCAUAGCACUCACGCUUAUCUUGCGAGUUUUAGAGUAUCCACUUCAAGUUAUCUAUGAACUAUACAGGCAACCCAGAGGUCCUUUACCGUGGACGCGGCUAUUCAAAUAGAUCAUUUAUAACCCUGCAGGGUGUACUUCUUCACACACGCACUCGCCACUUACCACCAUGUACAUGUUGUGUAUCUCGGUAACCUUCAAGCGGAAGCCUGGCGAGGGAGUCGGCCAUGACCUAACUAACCACACAAGUCUCUAGUCCAGGUUUAUCGCCUAUUCGGGUUCCAUCCAUGAGGAGAUCCAGCCGGGGUUUCUCUCACAUCCCCAAACGAUGUGUACAGGGUUCCGCGACACCAAACGGGCGCCCGGCAUACCCAGCCACGGUGUAUCUACCACAUCAUAGCCCACCCCUAGGGUCAGCACUACGCACGGCCUCCAACACAUAUCCUACAAACACUAGAAACUAGUUGCAAUUCCUGGACAGAGGACAAGGGCAGUUGAUAAGUCGAGAGGGUCCAUUGGUUUCGGGCCCAAUGUUUGGUAGUAGUUUUUCAUGGAUCACAAACACAAAACCCAGUUCCCAAGGACGGCUUCAAUGAAUCAACCCACCAUUUACUCCUACAUGGCCUCUCAUCGACACCUUUACCAAAUCAUGUUCACACACUUAGCUCUCAAUAAUAGGACAUGUUCACACACCUCCAAUUCAUCCCCGAUGAAUCAGACCUAACUCAAUUCUAAGUAGUAGCGGGCAUAACAAACAAGCAUGAAUGAGUAGGCACAUCAGGGCUCAAACAACUCCUACUCAUGCUAGUGGGUUUCAUCUAUUUACUGUGGCAAUGACAGGUCAUGCAGAGGAAAGGGGGUUCAACUACCGCAACAUGUAACAAUUGAAUUGUUGUUGUCCUAAUGCAGUAAAAGAGAGCAGAAGUGAGAGAGUGGGAUUGUAUCAGAAUAAACAAGGGGGUUUUGCUUGGCUGGAACUUCUGAAGAUAGUAUAGUUCUUCAUCGAUGUCAUCGAUCUCAUCGUCGGAACCACAUCUACUAAGAGGGGACAAAUACCGACAACAGAGAAGGAACACAAUCAAUGCAAUGCAACAAUAUGAUGCAUGAUCAUGACAUGGCAAUAUGCUGUGAUUUGAGCUAAUGCAGCUAUCAACAGAUUAAAUGAAGUUGGUUUGAACCCAAGGUUCAAAUUCAAACUCCAUGUAAGGCAUUUCAAAUGCAUUUUAUUCAAUUUGUCAUAUACAGUGGCGGUAAGUUGUUCAAACAUGCAUGAGAAUUCCAUAGACAGAUUCUUCAUAUUUUUCUGAUAAUUUUUCAUAUAUAAAUUAUUUCAUUUGGAGUUACGGUUGAUUUUGUAUGAUUUUUAGAAGUUUUGGAUAUUUUCUGAACUAAAUAAAUCAUUUCUGAUUUAUUUUAAAUCCCAGAAAAUAUUUACUGCGUCAGCACUACAUCAUGCUGACAUCAGCAGGUCAACAGGAGCGUUCCAGGUCAAACCUCACCAGUGGGGUCCACUGGUCAGUGACCCAGUGUUGUUCAGUGACAAUGACACGUGGGUCCAGUCAACGGACACGUCAGCACAGUCAAUGCUGACACGUGGGUCCAGGGUAAUUAGAUUAAACUUAAUCUAGUUUAGUUAGUGAUGACCCACAAGUAUAGGGGAUCUAUCGUAGUCCUUUCGAUAAGUAAGAGUGUCGAACCCAACGAGGAGCAGAAGGAAAUGAUAAGCGGUUUUCAACAAGGUAUUCUCUGCAAGUACUGAAAUAAGUGGUAACAGAUAGUUUUGUGAUAGGAUAAGUUGUAACGAGCAAUGAGUAACAAAAGUAAAUAAAGUGCAGCAAGAUGGCCCAAUCCUUUUGUAGCAAAGGACAAGUCGGAACAAACUCUUAUAAUAGGAAAAGCGCUCCUGAGGACACAUGGGAAUAUCAUCAAGCUAGUUUUCAUCACGUUCAUAUGAUUCGCGUUCGAUACUUUGAUAAUUUGAUAUGUGGGUGGACCGGUGCUUGGGUGCUGUUCUUACUUGAACAAGCAUCCCACUUAUGAUUAACCUCUAUUGCAAGCAUCCGCAACUACAACAAAAGUAUUAAGGUAAACCUAACCAUAGCAUGAAACAUAUGGAUCCAAAUCAGCCCCUUACGAAGCAACGCAUAAACUAGGGUUUAAGCUUCUGUCACUCUAGCAACCCAUCAUCUACUUAUUACUUCCCAAUGCCUUCCUCUAGGCCCAAAUAAUGGUGAAGUGUUAUGUAGUCGACGUUCACAUAACACCACUAGAGGCUAGACAACAUACAUCUUAUCAAAAUAUCAAACGAAUACCAAAUCCACAUGACUACUCAUAGCAAGACUUCUCCCUUGUCCUCAGAAAUGAACGUAAUUACUCACAAAGCAUAUUCAUGUUCAUAAUCAGAGGGGUAAUAAUAUGCAUAUAGGAUCUGAACAUAUGAUCUUCCACCGAAUAAACCAACUAGCAUCAACUACAAGGAGUAAUCAACACUACUAGCAACCUACUAGCACCAAUCCCGAACUUUGAGACAAGAAUUGGAUACAAGAGAUGAACUAGGGUUUGGAGAUGAGAUGGUGCUGGUGAAGAUGUUGCUGGAUAUUGCCCUCUCCCGAUGAGACGAACGUUGGUGAUGAAGAUGGUGAUGAUUUCCCCCUCCCGGAGGGAAGUUUCCACGGCAGAACAGCUCUGCCGGAGCUCUAGAUUGGAUCCGCCAAGGUUCUGCCUUGUGGCGGCGGAGUCUUGUCCCAAAAAGGUCCUACUUAUUUUUUCUCAUUGAAAGACCUCAUAUAGGAGAAGAUGGGCGUCGAAGAGACACCAGGGGGCCCACGAGGUAGGGGGCGCACCCUAGGGGGGGCGUCCCCACCCUCGUGAGCAGGGUGUGGGCCCCUGGCCUUCAUCUUUGGCGUGGAUUUUUCUUUAUUUCUUUUAAGACGUUCCGUGGAGUUUCAGGACUUUUGGAGUUGCGCAAAAUAAGUCUCUAAUAUUUUCUCCUUUUCCAUACCAGAAUUCCAGCUGCCGGCAUUCUCCCUCCUUAUGUAAACCUUGUAAAAGAAGAGAGAAUAGCCAUAAGUAUUGUGACAUAAAGUGAAAUAACAGUCCAUAAUGCGAUAAAUAUCGAUAUAAAAGCAUGAUGCAAAAUGGACGUAUCAACUCCCCCAAGCUUAGACCUCGCUUGUCCUCAAGCGAAAAGCCGAUAACAAUAAAUAUGUCCUCGUGUUUAGAGGUAGAGGCGUCGAUAAAAAUAAAAUACGGACAUGAAGGCAUCAUGAUUAUUCUCAUAACAGCAACGUAUAUAGAUUCUGUCAUAUGAUUACUUAUGUUCAAGUGAUGAUCUAUUCACAAUGCAAGAGAUCAUAAACCUUAUCGGGCUCCGACAAACUAUAAUCUCAGUCAAUUUAUCAUAACAUCGGAAAGAGUCUAUGUCAGAGCUAAAAAGCAAGUCCACAUACUCAACUAUCAUUUAGCCCUCCAUAAUUGCUAACACUCACGCGAUACUUGUAGUUACAGAGUUUUAAUCGGACACAGAGAAAGAUAGGGGCUUAUAGUUUUGCCCCACAACCUUUUACCUCAAGGGUAAUGUCAACAAUAAUGGUUCGUGUUCCCCUACAUCCAAUUAGAUAUAUAUAUAUAUAUCAUGUUCUUUCCAACAUGCUGAGCUUGCCAAAGGAUAAAAUAAUAAAGAAAAGGUGAAGAUCACCAUGACUCUUGCAUAAGGUAGAAGAUAAUAAUAAAGGAUAGGCCCUUCGCAGAGGGAAGCAAAGGUUGCCAUGCGCUUUUAUGGUUGGAUAUAUAAAAUCUCAAUGCGAAAGAACGUCACUUUAUAUUGCCCCUUGUGAUAUGAACCUUUAUUAUGCAGUCCGUCGCUUUUAUUACUUCCACAUCACAAGAUCGUAUAAAGAUUAUUUCUCCCACACCCAUCAAUCAUACAUAUUUAGAGCAAUUUUUAUUGCUUUGCACCGAUGACAACUUACUUGAAGGAUCUUACUCAAUCCAUAGGUAGAUAUGGUGGACUCUCAUGGCAAAACUGGUUUAAGGAUAUUUGGAAGCACAAGUAGUAUUUCUACUUGGUGCUGAGAAUUUGGCUAGCAUGAGAGGGAAAUGCAAGCUCAACAAGUUAGACGAUCCAUGACAACAUACUUUAUCUCAGAUAUAAGAAAGACAUAACUCAUUACGUUGUCUUCCUUGUCCAACAUCAACUCUUUGGCAUGUCAUAUUUUAAUGAGUGCUCCCAAUCAUAAAAGAUGUCAAUGAUAAUAUAUCUAUAUGUGAAAACCUCUCUUUCCUUAUUACUUCCUAUUAAUUGCAACAAUGACCAAAGCUAUGUCUGCCAACUACCAACAACUUUUAAUCAUCAUACUCUUUCUAUGUGAAGUCAUUACUCUCAAUAAGAUCAAUAUGAACUUUUUGUUUCUUUUUAUUCUUUUCUCUUUUCUUUUAUUCACCCAAGAUCAUGGCAAAAUAAUCAAGCCCUUGACUCAACACUAAUCUUUAUUAUAUAUAGCUCACGGACUCGAUUACAUAGAGAGAUCAUAAAGCAAAACUCAAAACUAGAUCAUGCCAUAAACUUUAUUCUACUAGAUCAAGAUAUUAUCAAAUGGAUCGAAAUAAGAAAAAUGGUAAAGAUAGGAGUUUUGAUUGUGAUACGAUAUCAGGGCACCUCCCCCAAGCUUGGCAGUUGCCAAGGGGAGUGCCCGUACCCAUGUGAUUAUGUCUCCUUCUUUGUUGUUGGUGUAAUAUUCUUGGCGAUUAUUCUUCUCAGGAUACGGUUCUCCUCCUCGAGCUUAUUGACUUGCUGCUUGAGGUCCAUUAUUUCCUUACGAAGCUUUCCUAUGACAGCUAAAGCUCCUUGCACCCAAGGGUGUUGCAUAGCUGCGGGAGAACAAGUGACACUCCUCUUCAUAUUUUCAUAAGUAAGAAAUCUAACAUUAGAAGGGAUAACCGAGUUUGGAAUAGCUGAGCUCUGUAGUUCCCCCAUCAUGAACCCAUCUCGGAGGUGAGAGGUGACUUCUUGAUCGUCCAUAGCAUCUACUCUCAUCAAGUCAGCCUCCAUCUCCUCCUCCGUUGCUGGCCCAAAGUGGUCAGCGUCGCUGUUUGCCCUUGGUUCCGGUGCCGGAUUAGAUACCCGGCUCUCCCCGAUUGACUCUUGAGAAAACAUCUUGCUCUAAUCUGCAGCAACAACAACUCAAAAACAAAAACAGAGGAAAUUUGCGUGAUACGGGAGUUAAAACCUUCGGAAAAAUAUAUAAUGAAUUUUUACCGACCAAAAUACGUAAUGUGCAAGAAAACGGAGUCCGAAAAGCACACGAGGUGCUCACGAGGUAGGGGCUGUGCCCAGGGGGUAGGGCGUGCCACCACCCUCGUGGGGCCCUCGUGUCCUUCCCGGACUACUACUUAUUUUUCUAUUUUUCUAAAUAUUCCAAAACGGAGAAAUAUUGCCUUAAAAAUUGUUUUGGAGUCGGUUUACUUACCGUACCACAUACCUAUUCCUUUUCGGAGUCUGAAACGUUCCGGAAAGUGUCCCUUAUGUAUUCUUCCGGGGUUACGGUUUCAAUAAUAUUGGUUUCAAUAUUUAUGGGAUUACCUGAGAUAUAAUGUUUGAUUCUUUGACCGUUCACCACCUUCGGAUUUGUGCCCUCGAAAUUAUUGAUUUUUAUGGCACCGGAAUGAUAGACCUCUUCGAUAACAUAGGGGCCUUCCCAUUUAAAGAGAAGUUUUCCUACAAAAAAUCUUAAAUGAGAGUUGUAUAGCAAUACAUAAUCACCUACAUUAAACUCACGCUUUUGUAUCCUUUUAUCAUGCCAUCUUUUAAAUUUUUCUUUAAACAACUUGGCAUUUUCAUAUGCUUGGGUUCUCCAUUCAUCAAGUGAGCUAAUAUCAAAUAACCUCUUUUCACCGGCAAGUUUAAAAUCAUAGUUGAGCUCUUUAAUAGCCCAAUAUGCCUUAUGUUCUAGUUCGAGAGGUAAGUGACAUGAUUUUCCAUAAACCAUUUUAUACAGAGACAUACCCAUAGGAUUUUUGUAUGCAGUUCUAUAAGCCCAUAACGCAUCAUCAUGUUUCUUGGACCAAUUCUUUCUAGACCUAUUAAUAGUCUUUUGCAAAAUUAAUUUGAGCUCUCUAUUGCUCAACUCUACUUGACCACUAGACUGUGGGUGAUAAGGAGAUGCAAUUCUAUGAUUAACAUCAUAUUUAGCAAGCAUUUUACGGAAAGCACCAUGAAUAAAGUGUGAACCACCAUCAGUCAUUAAAUAUCUAGGGACUCCAAACCUCAGGAAAAUAACUUCCUUAAGCAUUUUAAUAGAAGUGUUAUGAUCAACACUACUAGUUGGAAUAUCUUCUACCCACUUAGUAACGUAAUCAACAGCAACUAGAAUAUGUGUGUAUCCAUUAGAGCCAGGAAAAGGUCCCAUAUAAUCAAAGCCCCAAACAUCAAACAGUUCAAUAACAAGAGAACAAUUCAUAGGCAUUUCUUGACGUCUACUAAUAUUACCAAUUCUUUGACAUUCAUCACAAGACAAGACAAACUUACGGGCAUCCUUGAAGAGAGUAGGCCAAUAAAAACCAGAUUGCAAUACCUUAUGUGCAGUUCUAUCUCCAGCGUGGUGUCCUCCAUAAGACUCGGAAUGACACUUGCGUAGGAUCUGUUCCUGUUCAUGCUUAGGUACACAACGUCUAAUAACACCAUCUACUCCUUCUUUAUAAAGAUGUGGGUCAUCCCAAAAGUAAUAUCUUAAAUCAUAGAAGAACCUUUUCUUUUGUUGGUAUGUGAAGCUAGGUGGUAUAAACUUAGCAACAAUAUAAUUAGCAUAAUCAGCAUACCAUGGAGUACUACGAGAAGUACUUAUAACAUUUAAUUGUUCAUCAGGAAAGUUAUCAUUAAUAGGUAGUGGGUCAUCAAGAAUAUUUUCUAACCUAGACAAGUUGUCUGCAACGGGGUUCUCAGCUCCCUUUCUAUCAACAAUAUGCAAAUCAAAUUCUUGUAGCAAGAGAACCCAUCUAAUAAGUCUAGGUUUAGCAUCUUUCUUUUCCAUGAGAUAUUUAAUAGCAACAUGAUCUGUUUGAAUAGUUACUUUAGAAUCAACAAUAUAAGAUCUGAACUUAUCACAAGCAAAUACAACUGCUAAAAGCUCUUUUUCAGUAGUAGCAUAAUUUCUUUGAGCAUUGUCUAGAGUCUUACUAGCGUAAUGAAUAACAUUUAAUUUCUUGUCAAUUCUUUGCCCUAGAACAGCACCUACAACAUAAUCACUAGCAUCACACAUAAUUUCAAAGGGUAAAUUCCAAUCAGGUGGCUGAACAACAGGUGCAGUGACUAAUGCUUUCUUAAGUAUUUCAAAUGCUUCUACACAAUCAUCAUCAAAGACAAAUGGUAUAUCUUUUUGCAAUAAAUUAGUCAGAGGUCGAGAAAUUUUUGAGAAGUCCUUAAUGAACCUCCUGUAAAAUCUGGCGUGACCAAGGAAACUUCUUAUACCUUUGAUGUCCUUGGGACAUGGCAUCUUUUCAAUAGCAUCAACCUUGGCUUUAUCAACUUCAAUACCUCUUUCAGAAACUUUGUGCCCCAAGACAAUACCUUCAUUAACCAUAAAGUGACACUUUUCCCAAUUCAAGACAAGAUUAGUUUCUUCACAUCUCUGCAAAACUCGAUCAAGAUUGCUCAAGCAAUCAUCAAAAGAGGAACCAUAAACGGAAAAAUCAUCCAUGAAAACCUCACAAAUCUUUUCACAAAAGUCAGAGAAUAUAGCCAUCAUGCAUCUUUGAAAGGUAGAAGGUGCAUUACAUAAACCAAAAGGCAUACGUCUAUAAGCAAAAGUACCAAAAGGGCAUGUAAAAGUAGUUUUUGAUUGAUCUCUAGCCGACACAUGUAUUUGAGAGAAACCGAAAUAACCAUCUAGAAAGCAAUAGUGUGUAUGUUUGCAUAAUCUUUCUAGCAUUUGAUUAAUAAAAGGUAAGGGUAAUGAUCUUUCUUAGUAGCUUUAUUUUAUUUGCGGAAAUCAAUUACCAUACUAUAACCUAUCAUAAUUCUUUGUGCAAUCAAUUCAUCUUUAUCAUUAGGAACAACAGUAAUACCCCCCUUCUUAGGGACACAAUGGACAAGACUUACCCACUCACUAUCAGCAACGGGAUAGAUUAUACCUGCCUCCAGAAGCUUUAGUAUUUCUUUUCUUACCACUUCUUUCAUUUUAGGAUUCAGACGUCGUUGAGGAUCUCGAACUGGUUUGGCAUCUGCUUCCAAAUUUAUUUUAUGUCGACAUAGAGUGGGACUAAUGCCCUUAAGAUCAUCAAGAGUAUAUCCAAUAGCAGCACGGUGCUUCUUCAAAAUUUUCAAUAAUCUUUUUUCUUCAUGCUCUGAAAGGUUAGCACUAAUAAUAACAGGAUAUAUCUUCUUUUCAUCAAGAUAAGCAUAUUUAAGGUUAUCAGUAAUAGAGCAUUUCCUCAUAUAAUCUUUUUAGCCUUUUUGCAUCACAUUGUAAUCAUAUUUUCACAUUAUUUACUCAAGAAAUAUUCGGAUGUUACCGUUAUAUUACAUUUACAACACUCCUCCAUGUUUUGCAGAAAAGGGCGAAAAGGCCCAAAAUCCUUCUAUAAUGGAGAGUGUCAAGAAGUUGUGGUUACUGUAAUUUACGAAGGGAGUCAAGCGUGAAGAAAAAGAAGUAAUCAGAGGGGCCGAACUUAAGAAGAGGAUCAACUUGUGCAGAGAGAAGAAAAGGACAGGGGCCAACGUGCAAAUGGAAGAUCCGAUCGGGGGAAUCAAAUCCCUAGCGCUCUCAAUCCCCAAAAUUGGGCCUGACAUCACAUCUCUCUCCCUCACCCUUCCUUCUCCACCUCCGGCCGCCGCCACGGCCAGGCCAUCGUGGUGGUGCGCCUCCGCACCAUAAGCACACCCACCACAAACAUCCACCACUCACCACCAACUUCACCACCAACACCCAUCUCGCCUGCCGUACCCGCGCGCCUCCACCUGCUGCUGAUUCUCCUUGCUGCUCCCUUUGCCUACCUCGUUGUUGUUCUUCUUCCCGACGUCCUCCUUGCUGCCCUUCUGCUUCUCCUCUGCUUCCCCUCUACUAGCGCCUCAACCUGCUGCUUCUUCUUCCCCAAACUUUGCUGCUGCUCCUUCCCUCUCCUCACGUCCCUGCUGCUGCACUUCUUCUCUCCCAACGCUACUGCUGCUACUACACUCUACUGCUUCCUCUUGCUAACCUGCUGCCACUUCUUCUCUCCUAUCUUCUUCUCCUAUAGCCCUUCUGCUACUCCUUCCCUCGUCCUUGCUGCUGCUCUCUCCCUCUCCUAGCGCUGCUGCUUCUCUUCUAUUCAACGCCUGCUGCUGUUCUUCUUCUUGCGCCACUGUUGCUGCUCUCUUCUUCCCCUCAACCUCCUGCUGUAGCCUCUUCAUCUUCUCUGAACAUCUCCUUUUCUAUACUGCUGAAGCUUACUGCUGCUGCUCUCUCUCUAAAGUUUAUGUAAUUUAAGAUGUUUAGCACAUGUAAUAUUCAGAUUUUAUAAGAGCUUGCAACUUGAUUAUUGUUCAGUUUUUAUCUGUAAAAUUCUAUGUUCCGAAUAGUGUAUGUCUUGUUGCUUUGGGAAUUAACUGAUAUAUGAUAUGUUGUUGCUUUGGUAACUAGUGCUCUGUCACCUUAUAUGUGUGUUCACCCUGUGUAUUUCUUCUCGCUGUACUCAUUAAUUUUUAC
rnacentral:lncRNA from 1 species